UACAGAAGUCCCGAGCGUUGUUCGGAUUCAUUGGGCGUAAAGGGUGCGUAGGCGGCUGGGUAAGUUUGAUGUGAAAUCCUGGGGCUCAACCCUGGAACUGCAUUGAAUACUGCUCGGCUAGAGUACUGGAGAGGAAACUGGAAUUUACGGUGUAGCAGUGAAAUGCGUAGAGAUCGUAAGGAAGACCAGUGGCGAAGGCGGGUCUCUGGACAGUUCCUGACACUGAGACACGAAGGCCAGGGGAGCAAACGGG
rnacentral:rRNA from 1 species